rnacentral:rRNA from 1 species
ACGCUCGACACCUACGGGGGGCAGCAGUAGGGAAUCUUCCACAAUGGGCGCAAGCCUGAUGGAGCAACACCGCGUGAGUGAAGAAGGGUUUCGGCUCGUAAAGCUCUGUUGUUGGAAGAAGAACGUGCGUGAGAGUAACUGUUCACGCAGUGACGGUAUCCAACCAGAAAGUCACGGCUAACUACGUGCCGGCAGCCGCGGUAAUCUGAGCGGGCUGGCAAGGC